rnacentral:rRNA from 1 species
AUUGAACGCUGGCGGCAUGCUUUACACAUGCAAGUCGAACGGCAGCGCGGGCUUCGGCCUGGCGGCGAGUGGCGAACGGGUGAGUAAUGCAUCGGAACGUGCCCAGUAGUGGGGGAUAGCCCGGCGAAAGCCGGAUUAAUACCGCAUACGACCUGCGGGUGAAAGCGGGGGACCGAAAGGCCUCGCGCUAUUGGAGCGGCCGAUGUCGGAUUAGCUAGUUGGUGGGGUAAAGGCUUACCAAGGCGACGAUCCGUAGCUGGUCUGAGAGGACGACCAGCCACACUGGGACUGAGACACGGCCCAGACGCCUACGGGAGGCAGCAGUGGGGAAUUUUGGACAAUGGGGGCAACCCUGAUCCAGCCAUGCCGCGUGCGGGAAGAAGGCCUUCGGGUUGUAAACCGCUUUUGUUCGGGAAGAAAUCCUCUGGGCUAAUACCCCGGGGGGAUGACGGUACCGGAAGAAUAAGCACCGGCUAACUACGUG